GGGCCCGUAGCUCAGUAUGGAUGGAGCGCCGGCCUCCGGAGCCGGAGGUCCCGGGUUCAAGUCCCGGCGGGCCCG
rnacentral:tRNA from 1 species